AAAUUGAAGAGUUUGAUCAUGGCUCAGAUUGAACGCUGGCGGCAGGCCUAACACAUGCAAGUCGAACGGUAACAGGAAACAGCUUGCUGUUUCGCUGACGAGUGGCGGACGGGUGAGUAAUGUCUGGGAAACUGCCUGAUGGAGGGGGAUAACUACUGGAAACGGUAGCUAAUACCGCAUAACGUCGCAAGACCAAAGAGGGGGACCUUCGGGCCUCUUGCCAUCGGAUGUGCCCAGAUGGGAUUAGCUAGUAGGUGGGGUAACGGCUCACCUAGGCGACGAUCCCUAGCUGGUCUGAGAGGAUGACCAGCCACACUGGAACUGAGACACGGUCCAGACUCCUACGGGAGGCAGCAGUGGGGAAUAUUGCACAAUGGGCGCAAGCCUGAUGCAGCCAUGCCGCGUGUAUGAAGAAGGCCUUCGGGUUGUAAAGUACUUUCAGCGGGGAGGAAG
rnacentral:rRNA from 1 species